UUUCGCAAUGCCCGAAAGGGUGACGAAGCGACGCCGCGUGAGUGAGGAAGGCCUUCGGGUUGUAAAGCUCUGUCAGGAGUUAAGAAAUAUAAGUGUGUUAAUACCACAUUUAUUUGACGAAGGCUCCAAAGGAAGCCACGGCUAACUCUGUGCCAGCAGCCGCGGUAAUACAGAGGUGGCAAGCGUUGUUCGGAAUUAUUGGGCGUAAGGAGCACGUAGGCGGGUUUGUAAGUCAGAUGUGAAAGCCUUCUGUUCAACGGAAGAAUUGCAUCUGAAACUGCGAGUCUUGAGUGUAGGAGGGGAGAAUGGAACUUCUGGUGGAGCGGUGAAAUGCGUAGAUAUCAGAAGGAACGCCGGCGGCGAAAGCGAUUCUCUGGCCUAUUACUGACACUCAGUGUGCGAAAGCUAGGGGAGCAAACGGGAUUAGAUACCCCGGUAGUCCUAGCUGUAAACGAUGGGCACUAAGUAGAGGGGUUUUA
rnacentral:rRNA from 1 species